AUCGAACGCUGGCGGCAUGCCUAACACAUGCAAGUCGAACGAGACCUUCGGGUCUAGUGGCGCACGGGUGCGUAACGCGUGGGAACCUGCCCUUAGGUUCGGAAUAACUCCCCGAAAGGGGUGCUAAUACCGGAUAAUGUCUUCGGACCAAAGAUUUAUCGCCUUUGGAUGGGCCCGCGUUGGAUUAGCUAGUUGGUAGGGUAAAAGCCUACCAAGGCGACGAUCCAUAGCUGGUCUGAGAGGAUGAUCAGCCACACUGGGACUGAGACACGGCCCAGACUCCUACGGGAGGCAGCAGUGGGGAAUAUUGGACAAUGGGCGAAAGCAUGAUCCAGCAAUGCCGCGUGAGUGAUGAAGGCCUUAGGGUUGUAAAGCUCUUUUACCCGGGAUGAUAAUGACAGUACCGGGAGAAUAAGCUCCGGCUAACUCCGUG
rnacentral:rRNA from 1 species